rnacentral:rRNA from 1 species
GGGUUGUGAGGUUAAGCGACUAAGCGUACACGGUGGAUGCCCUGGCAGUCAGAGGCGAUGAAGGGCGUGCUAAUCUGCGAUAAGCGCCGGUAAGGUGAUAUGAACCGUUAUAACCGGCGAUACCCGAAUGGGGAAACCCAGUGUGAUUCGUCACACUAUCAUUAACUGAAUCCAUAGGUUAAUGAGGCGAACCGGGGGAACUGAAACAUCUAAGUACCCCGAGGAAAAGAAAUCAACCGAGAUUCCCCCAGUAGCGGCGAGCGAACGGGGAGGAGCCCAGAGCCUGAAUCAGCAUGUGUGUUAGUGGAAGCGUCUGGAAAGGCGCGCGAUACAGGGUGACAGCCCCGUACACAAAAGCGCAUGUGCUGUGAGCUCGAUGAGUAGGGCGGGACACGUGGUAUCCUGUCUGAAUAUGGGGGGACCAUCCUCCAAGGCUAAAUACUCCUGACUGACCGAUAGUGAACCAGUACCGUGAGGGAAAGGC